rnacentral:rRNA from 1 species
GGACUACCCGGGUAUCUAAUCCUGUUUGCUCCCCACGCUUUCGCGCCUCAGCGUCAGUGUUCGUCCAGGUGGCCGCCUUCGCCUCUGGUGUUCCUCCCGAUAUCUACGAAUUUCACCUCUACACCGGGAAUUCCGCCACCCUCUCCGACACUCAAGAACUGCAGUUUCGAACGCACUUCCCCGGUUGAGCCGAGGGCUUUCACAUCCGACUUGCAAUCCCGCCUGCGCGCGCUUUACGCCCAAUAAUUCCGAACAACGCUUGCACCCUCUGUAUUACCGCGGCUGCUGGC